rnacentral:rRNA from 1 species
CUAAGGUCCCAAAGUGUGUGUUAAGUGGAAAAGGAUGUGGGAUUUCAGAGACAACUAGGAUGUUGGCUUAGAAGCAGCCAUACAUUUAAAGAGUGCGUAACAGCUCACUAGUCGAGAAAACCUGCGCCGAAAAUUUAACGGGGCUAAAACACGACACCGAAGCUACGGAUUCCUUACUAGGUAAGGAGUGGUAGAGGAGCAUCCUGCAAGGACGAAGCCAAAGUGAGAACGAUGGUGGACGAAACAGGAGAGAGAAUGCCGGAAUGAGUAGCGAGAUAGAAGUAAGAAACUUCUAGGCCGAAUAUCUAAGGUUUCCUGGGUAAAGCUAAUCUUCCCAGGGUUAGUCGGGGCCUAAGGCGAGGACGAAAGUCGUAGUCGAUGGAUAACAGGUUGAUAUUCCUGUACUACGUAUCAUCAGAACUGUGGGGACGCAGGAGGAUAGGAAAACCGGGGAAUGGAAAAACCCGGCCAAGUACAAAGUCAAGGGAGAUAGGCAAAUCCGUCUCUUGAUGAUGAAGUGCGAUGGGGACUGAACAAAAGUAGGGAAGUUUCCGAAUCCACACUGUCGAGAAAAGCCGCUAUUGUGUGAUACGUACCCGUACCGUAAACCGACACAGGUAGAUGAGGAGAAAAUCCACAGGCCGACGGGAGAAGUGUUGUUAAGGAACUCGGCAAAAUGACCCCGUAACUUAGGGAGAAGGGGAGCCACGCAAGUGGCCGCAGAAAAGAGGCUCAAGCGACUGUUUAGCAAAAACACAGGUCUCUGCGAAACCGAAAGGUGAAGUAUAGGGGCUGACACCUGCCCGGUGCUGGAAGGUUAAAAGGAGAGGUUCGACGUAAGUCAAAGCUUUGAAUUCAAGCCCCAGUAAACGGCGGCCGUAACUAUAACGGUCCUAAGGUAGCGAAAUUCCUUGUCAGGUAAGUUCUGACCCGCACGAAAGGUGUAACGAUUUGAGCACUGUCUCGACAACACGCCCGGUGAAAUUGAAGAACCAGUGAAGAUACUGGUUACCCGCAACAGGACGGAAAGACCCCAUGGAGCUUUACUGCAGCCUGAUACUGGGAUUCGAUGAUAUAUGUACAGGAUAGGAGGGAGACUAGGAAUCCGGGACGCCAGUUUCGGAGGAGUCGACGGUGGGAUACCUCUCUUAUGUUAUUGGAUUUCUAACUUGGCACCGUGAUCCGGUGUGAGGACAAUGUCAGGCGGGCAGUUUGACUGGGGCGGUCGCCUCCUAAAAGGUAACGGAGGCGCUCGAAGGUCACCUCAGAAUGAUUGGAAACCAUUCAAAGAGUGUAAAGGCAAAAGGUGGCUUGACUGCGACACCGACGGGUGGAGCAGGUACGAAAGUAGGACUUAGUGAUCC